UACGUAGGUGGCAAGCGUUGUCCGGAAUUACUGGGCGUAAAGAGCGCGCAGGCGGCUGGUCAAGUCCGAUGUGAAAGCUCCCGGCUUAACUGGGAAAUUGCAUCGGAAACUGAUCGGCUUGAAGGUGGGAGAGGGUAGUGGAAUUCCCGGUGUAGUGGUGAAAUGCGUAGAUAUCGGGAGGAACACCAGUGGCGAAGGCGACUACCUGGCCCACUCUUAACGCUGAGGCGCGAAAGCUAGGGGAGCGAACGGG
rnacentral:rRNA from 1 species